AGAGCUACGGUGACACUUCGCGCGCGGCGUAGGCGCACCUUCGCUCUGUCGGCCGUGGUUUAGUAAGCACACACCUGCCUGCUACUCUGGUUAUCGUGGCGACGGCAGGUCUGGAUUGCCAGACAGGUUUUUCUUUUUACCUCGAGGCUUUCUCUGAAGGGAGUCGGAGCAUUUAAAAGGCGGCCUCAAGGUGGAUUGAGUCGGGGGAGGAUUAGCAGUAUUUGCUUAGGUUGUAAAACCGCGACUUUAUCUAAUAAAUCGCCAUUCAAGGUGCAAAUACAAACUUGGAACAGAGAUUGCAUUUGGGUUUAAACAGAGGACUUAAUCAUAGCGUGGACAGAAAAAGCUCACCAUCUAUCUAAAUGACUCUGAUUGCACCAUCAUCCUCAUUGUUCUCGUGGAGUCUUGCUCUGUCGCCCAGGCUGGAGUGGAGUGACGCGAUCU
rnacentral:lncRNA from 1 species